rnacentral:rRNA from 1 species
AACGAACGCUGGCGGCAGGCCUAACACAUGCAAGUCGAGCGCCCUUUCGGGGGAGCGGCGGGCGGGUGAGUAACGCGUGGGAAUAUGCCCUUCUCUACGGAAUAGCCUCGGGAAACUGAGAGUAAUACCGUAUACGCCCUAUGGGGGAAAGAUUUAUCGGGGAAGGAUUAGCCCGCGUUGGAUUAGGUAGUCGGUGGGGUAAUGGCCUACCAAGCCGACGAUCCAUAGCUGGUUUGAGAGGAUGAUCAGCCACACUGGGACUGAGACACGGCCCAGACUCCUACGGGAGGCAGCAGUGGGGAAUCUUAGACAAUGGGGGCAACCCUGAUCGAGCCAUGCCGCGUGAGUGAUGAAGGCCUUAGGGUUGUAAAGCUCUUUCAGCUGGGAAGAUAAUGACGGUACCAGCAGAAGAAGCCCCGGCUAACUCCGUG